UGGGAAUCUACCCGGAACUACGGAAUAACAUGAAGAAAUUUAUGCUAAUACCGUAUACGCCCUUUUGGGGAAAGAUUUAUUGGUUUCGGAUGAGCCCGCGUUGGAUUAGCUUGUUGGUAGGGUAAUGGCCUACCAAGGCGACGAUCCAUAGCUGGUCUGAGAGGAUGAUCAGCCACACUGGGACUGAGACACGGCCCAGACUCCUACGGGAGG
rnacentral:rRNA from 1 species